AGUGGAUGGGGAGCAACCUAGUUGUGCGUGUGUAAAGGUGGUGCCAAGAAAAGCGGUGAUCAUGAUGAAAAUCAAUUCCCGGUACCCGAAACCGACACAGGUGGGCAAGUAGAGAAUACUAAGGGGCGCGAGGUAACUCUCUCCAAGGAACUCGGCAAAAUGACCCCGUAACUUAGGGAGAAGGGGUGCCACCGAGAGGUGGUCGCAGUGAAGAGGCCCAGGCGACUGUUUAGCAAAAACAUAGGUCUCUGCAAACUCGAAAGAGGAGGUAUAGGGGCUGACGCCUGCCCAGUGCCGGAAGGUUAAAGAAGUUGGUCAGUCUUAGGAUGAAGCUAGCGACUGAAGCCCCGGUGAACGGCGGCCGUAACUAUAACGGUCCUAAGGUAGCGAAAUUCCUUGUCGGGUAAGUUCCGACCCGCACGAAAGGCGUAACGAUCUGGGCGCUGUCUCGGAGAGAGGCUCGGCGAAAUAGGAUUGUCUGUGAAGAUACGGACUACCUGCAUUUGGACAGAAAGACCCUAUGAAGCUUUACUAUAGCUUGGAAUUGUGUUCGGGCUUCCUGUGCGCAGGAUAGGUGGGAGGCGUAGAAGGUAUUCUUGUGGGGAUACUGGAGCCAACGGUGAGAUACCACUCUCAGGAGGCUAGAAUUCUAACUUAAUUAAGGACAGUUUCAGGUGGGUAGUUUGACUGGGGCGGUCGCCUCCAAAAAGGUAACGGAGGCGUACAAAGGUUCCCUCAGACUGGUUGGAAAUCAGUCGAAGAGUGCAAAGGCAGAAGGGAGCUUGACUGCGAGAAGUACAGUUCGAGCAGGGUGGAAACACGGUCUUAGUGAUCCGACGGUGCUGUGUGGAAGGGCCGUCGCUCAACGGAUAAAAGUUACUCUAGGAUAACAGGCUGAUCUCCCCCAAGAGUUCACAUCGACGGGGAGGUUUGGCACCUCGAUGUCGGCUCAUCGCAACCUGGGGCGGAAGUACGUCCCAAGGGUUGGGCUGUUCGCCCAUUAAAGCGGUACGUGAGCUGGGUUCAGAACGUCGUGAGACAGUUCGGUCCAUAUCCGAUGUAGGCGUGAGAAUAUUGAGAGGGCCUUCCUUAGUACGAGAGGACCGGGAAGGACGCACCGCUGGUGUACCUGUUAUGAUGCCAAUUGUAAACGCAGGGUAGCCAAGUGCGGAGAGGAUAACCGCUGAAAGCAUCUAAGUGGGAAGCCCACCUCAAGAUGAGUAUUCUGGUGUAAGGUCACGGGAAGACGACCCGUAAAUAGGCACGAGGUGGAAGUGCAGAGAUGUAUGAAGCCGAAGUGUACUAAUAGACCGUCGGCUU
rnacentral:rRNA from 1 species